rnacentral:rRNA from 1 species
UACGAAGGGUGCAAGCGUUACUCGGAAUUACUGGGCGUAAAGCGUGCGUAGGUGGUGAGUUAAGUCUGUCGUGAAAGCCCCGGGCUCAACCUGGGAAUGGCGAUGGAUACUGGCUCGCUAGAGUGCGGUAGAGGAGAGUGGAAUUCCCGGUGUAGCAGUGAAAUGCGUAGAGAUCGGGAGGAAGACCAGUGGCGAAGGCGGGUCUCUGGACAGUUCCUGACACUGAGACACGAAGGCCAGGGGAGCAAACGGG